rnacentral:rRNA from 1 species
GAUGAACGCUGGCGGCGUGCCUAAUACAUGCAAGUCGAGCGAACGGACGAGAAGCUUGCUUCUCUGAUGUUAGCGGCGGACGGGUGAGUAACACGUGGAUAACCUACCUAUAAGACUGGGAUAACUUCGGGAAACCGUAGCUAAUACCGGAUAAUAUUUUGAACCGCAUGGUUCAAAAGUGAAAGACGGUCUUGCUGUCACUUAUAGAUGGAUCCGCGCUGCAUUAGCUAGUUGGUAAGGUAACGGCUUACCAAGGCAACGAUGCAUAGCCGACCUGAGAGGGUGAUCGGCCACACUGGAACUGAGCCACGGUCCAGACUCCUACGGGAGGCAGCAGUAGGGAAUCGUCCGCAAUGGGCGAAAGCCUGACGGAGCAACGCCGCGUGAGUGAUGAAGGUCUUCGGAUCGUAAAACUCUGUUAUUAGGGAAGAACAGAUGUGUAAGUAACUGUGCACAUCUUGACGGUACCUAAUCAGAAAGCAACGGCUAAUUACGUG